AUUGAACGCUGGCGGCAGGCCUAACACAUGCAAGUCGAACGAGUGGCGGACGGGUGAGUAAUGUCUGGGAACCUGCCCGACGUAGCCAUCUAACUCCUGGAAAAGGUAGCUAAUACCGCUUACCAUCGGCUGUGCCCUGGUUGGAUUAGCGAGUAGGUGGGGUAAAGGCUCACCAAGGCGACGAUGCAUAUCAGGUCUGAGAGGAUGACCGGCCACACUGGAACUGCGACACGGUCCAGACUCCUACGGGAGGCAGCAGUGGGGAAUAUUCGACAAUGGGCGGAAGCCUGAUCAAGCCACGCCGCGUGAAUGAAGAAGACCUUCGGAUCGUAAAGUACUUUCAGCGAGGAAGCGGUAUUCGAAGAAAAAGCACCGGCUAACUCCGUGCCAGCAGCCGCGGUAAUAC
rnacentral:rRNA from 1 species